CCUACGGGAGGCAGCAGUGAGGAAUAUUGCACAAUGGACGCAACCCUGAUCCAGCAACGCCGCGUGGGUGAAGGCGCGUCUCGGCGCUUAAAGCUCUGUCAGCGGGGAAGUAGAAAGACGGUACCCGACCAAGAAGACCCGGCUAACUCCGUGCCAGCAGCCGCGGUAAGACGGAGGAUUCAAGCGUUAUCCGGAUGUAUUGGGUUUAAGGGGUGCGUAGGCGGUCGGAUAAGUUAGAGGUGAAAUCCCGAGGCUCAACUUCGGAAUUGCCUCUGAUACUGUUCGGCUAGAGAGUAGUUGCGGUAGGCGGAAUGUAUGGUGUAGCGGUGAAAUGCUUAGAGAUCAUACAGAACACCGAUUGCGAAGGCAGCUUACCAAGCUACUUCUGACGUUGAGGCACGAAAGCGUGGGGAGCAAACAGGAUUAGAUACCCUAGUAGUC
rnacentral:rRNA from 1 species